AACUUUCAGCAACGGAUCACUUGGCUCUCGCAACGAUGAAGAACGCAGCGAAAUGCGAUAAGUAAUGCGAAUUGCAGAAUUCAGUGAGUCAUCGAAUCUUUGAACGCAUAUUGCGCCCUUUGGUAUUCCGAAGGGCAUGCCUGUUCGAGCGUCAUUAUCAACUAUCAAGCCUGGCUUGUUGUUGGACUUUGCGGCUGUAACAUGUGGCAGGUCCGAAAAAUAAUGACGGCGUCAUGUUUGACCCUAGAUGCAACGAGCUUUUUAUAGCACGCAUUGAAGUGGUCGACUGAACUGGUCUUAACCAUUAUUUCUAAGGUUGACCUCGGAUCAGGUAGGAAUACCCGCUGAACUUAAGCAUAUCAAUAAGCGGAGGCU
rnacentral:misc_RNA from 1 species